rnacentral:rRNA from 1 species
GUAGGUGGCAAGCGUUGUCCGGAAUUAUUGGGCGUAAAGCGCGCGCAGGCGGUUCUUUAAGUCUGAUGUGAAAGCCCACGGCUCAACCGUGGAGGGUUAUUGGAAACUGGAGAACUUGAGUACAGAAGAGGAAAGCGGAAUUCCACGUGUAGCGGUGAAAUGCGUAGAGAUGUGGAGGAACACCAGUGGCGAAGGCGGCUUUCUGGUCUGUAACUGACGCUGAGGCGCGAAAGCGUGGGGAGCAAACAGGGAUUAGAUACCCUGGUAGUCCACGCCGUAAACGAUGAGUGCUAAGUGUUAGGGGGUUUCCGCCCCCUUAGUGCUGCAGCUAACGCAUUAAGCACUCCGCCUGGGGAGUACGGCCGCAAGGCUG